GAUGAACGCUGGCGGCGUGCCUAAUACAUGCAAGUCGAACGGACAGACAGGGAGUUUGUUCCUCUGAUGUUAGCGGAAGGCGGGAGAGUAACGCGUGGAUCACCCCCUUAUAAGUCGGGGAAAACUUCGAAAAGAGGGAUAAAAUACCACAGAAGAUGAUGUACCGUGGGGUUCAACAGAAAGUUACGGCCGUGCUGUCACUAAUAGAAGGUGCCGCGCCUGAUUGGCGAGUUGGUGAGGGAACGGCUUACCAAGGCAACGAAGGGUAGCCGACAUGAGGGGUUGAUCGGCACCCCGGGAACUGGGCCAGGGCCCAGCCUCCUACGGGAGGCAGCAGUGGGGAACAUUGGGCAAUGGGCGAAAGCCUGCCGCAGCAAGCCCGCGUGGGUGAAGAAGGCCUUCGGUUCGUAAAGCCCGUUUUUUGGGAAAGAACAGCUGUAGAAUUAAACGUGCCCGUUGUGACGGUACCUUAUCAGAAAGCAACGGCUAACUACGUG
rnacentral:rRNA from 1 species